UGAUAGUGAGACGCGCGCGCCGCGCACUGAUUCUUCCACAGAGAACCGGAGAGCAUCUUAUCCUCGUCUCGGUCUCUCACGUUUAAGUUUUUUUUUCAACCAGGGUGCAAGUGUUUGUUUUCAGAAACCGAGAGAAAUGAGCGCAGUAGAUAUAAUUUCGAACGAGAGACUAAUAAAAUCGAAAUUGUAAGAUUACUGAUAUUUAGCCUAUUAUUCUGGAGCUAUAUCGAUUUUACUCUCCUUGCCAGAGUUAAAUAAGAAUCUGCCAAAAUAAAUAAAAAUAAAAACAUUAAUUUGGGAAAUGGGCAGCACAGCAAUGGAUUCUAAGAAAGAUGAGAAGAAAAAUUCUAGGAAAAGAAGAUCGCUUCGGAUACACAUGCCUGACUUGAGCUCCUUCGCCAUGCCGUUCCUGGAAGGAGAUGCGGAACAUGUAAACAAGGACGGCGUGCUCAAGGGUGAGCCUAGCUGCCGUUCAGCCAGUCCGACCAAAACCUUCUUCAGUCGGGGUCCUUUCAGCCGUCCCUCUAGCCCUAUGUCUGCUCCAGCCCGGUCCAGAAACAGCCCUGGAUCUCCCAAAUCCAUCUUCCCCUACUCGUCCAACAACGACUCCUCGCCCAAGUGUUCACGUCGCCGCAGCUUCACCGGAAUGUUCCGUUCAUCCUCCAAAGAGUCCACAAAUCCUUCUACAUCUCCUGUCAGCAUCAGACUCUUCUCUCGGGCCAGGAAAGCAUCGGGGAUCUCCUCAUCACCCACCACUCCAACACAACUGACCAAGCAGAGUUCUGCGUUUCUUCUGGAAGUCAGUCGGAAUGACACCGUGCAGCGUUCCUCGUCCUCCCCCCUCGACACUGGACAGCACCACAGCCCACCUACUGCAAAACCACCGCACAGUCCGUGCUCAGCACAUUUAUCUACCUCACGUGCGGUCCACGGUUUAUCUGAAGACAUGCUGGAGAAACUCGAUCUCGAGGAUGAAGCUGUUGAACAAUCCGAGAGCGACAUUUACAUGCGUUUUAUGAAGUUACAUAAGUGCUACGACAUCGUCCCUACCAGCUCCAAGCUAGUGGUCUUUGACACAACGCUGCAGGUUAAAAAGGCCUUUUUUGCCUUGGUGGCCAAUGGGGUCCGAGCAGCCCCUCUGUGGGAGACCAAGAAGCAAAGUUUUGUGGGCAUGCUGACCAUCACAGACUUCAUCAACAUACUUCACAGAUACUACAAAUCACCCAUGGUACAAAUCUAUGAGCUUGAGGAGCAUAAAAUUGAGACGUGGAGAGAGCUCUAUCUACAAGAAACAUUUAAGCCUUUAGUGAACAUAUCUCCAGAUGCAAGCAUAUUUGAUGCUGUGUAUUCACUGAUCAAAAACAAGAUCCACCGGUUGCCCGUCAUCGACCCUGUCAGUGGAAAUGCACUUUACAUUUUGACGCACAAAAGGAUCCUGAAAUUCCUUCAGCUGUUUGUCUGUGAGAUGCCAAAGCCUGCCUUUAUGAAGCAGACACUGGAGGAGCUGAGCAUCGGGACCUACAGCAACAUCGCCUUCAUUCACCCCGACACGCCAAUCAUCAAAGCCCUCAGCAUCUUUGUGGAGAGGAGAGUGUCAGCACUGCCUGUGGUGGAUGAGUCGGGAAAAGUUGUAGAUAUUUAUUCCAAAUUUGAUGUCAUUAAUCUUGCUGCUGAAAAGACGUACAACAACCUGGACAUAAGCGUGACGCAGGCGCUGAUGCACAGGUCACAAUACUUUGAAGGCGUCAUGAAAUGCAACAGAUUAGAGAUACUGGAAACAAUAGUAGAUCGGAUAGUCAAGGCUGAGGUGCACAGGCUGGUGGUGGUGGAUGAGAACGGGAGCAUCGUGGGCAUCGUCUCUCUGUCGGACAUCCUCCAGGCGCUCGUUCUUAACCCCGCAGGUAUAAAUGCUCAGCAUCCCUAAAGCUCAUUUCCAGCAGGACCCUUCUCCUCUCAACCUCUAUCGCCCAAACCACAGGCAUGGUCAGGAAGGACAGCGAAGCAGAGACGGACUGAUGUGUGCUGAGAUUGCUGGGCAGUGUGACGUUGCCGGCAGAGACUGGAGACAAGAAGUUUAAGCCACAUCUCUGAAUUAAAGAGAGAAACCAAGAAACUUGACCUAGAUGUGUGCUGUUAGAAGGCAAAAGAAGGGGUUUAAGGGUACAGAGACUGGUUAAAUGGUCUAUCAUUAAAUAUAUGGAUGAAGGUAGUGGCCGCAUGAGGCGAUUAAGGUGGAUCAUCUCUUAUUCAGAAGGAUACUGUGAACUCUGCCUAUUAUAUCACACUAAGCUUCUGCACGCACACUAUGAUAACUAUACUUUUAGCUAGACCUAAAACUACGCCAUCUGGUUUCUGAACAGUGGUCUGCGCACAGACUAUGGACUGUACCAUUACCACCUCUUUUGGGAGGGGGGUGUCUGUGCGUUUGCAGGGCAUUCAGUAAUAAUCUCAGUAUUCAAUGCAUGUUAGGACUGUUUGCUCCCUGUGUACAGUAUAUACGAUUUUCAGCUUGUGCCGUAUAAGCCCAGCUCGCAUAUUUCUACUUUUGACUACACCUCCUGAAUUUAGGAACUGUUGUUUAUUUCGUUUAGUCUCCAGCUCAAUCCAUUUGUACAGUAAAUGCAGACAGAAAUGGUUUCCUCUCUAUCUGUCUAUGGUGCCUUCUGUCCAGCAGUUAUCGCCCACUACUGGUUGCCAACAGAACAAGAGUAAUUGAAUGUUUAAACUUAUCAAAGCGAAUGUCAGAGUUGUUACAAAAACCAAAAGCCCCUUUUUGUCGUUUUAGUGUGUCACCAAAUGUAUUUACUGAAGAGCUCUACAUUUCCUCACUUUGGGUGUUCGUUUUGUUCUUGAUGUUUUUGAAAUGAUGCUGUAAAUGAUAAUUCAAAUGUUUAUUUAUUUAUAUUUAACACUUUUGUAUUUUUGAAAGUGAUAUCUAAGUGUGAGAUGGAAAGAACUAUUAAGCCCCUAUGCAGUAAAACUUGAUGUUGAAAAGUGAUUCAACCUUAAAACCCCACUGUCCAAGAGGCGACUGAUUCUUGUUUGUAUCAAUUGUACUGUACCGAGCUUCUGUCUGAAGAGUCUACAAGUGCCAGAGAAAGGUAUAUUUUUCUGUGUAUUCAGUGUUGUUUGUAAUACUUCACAUUAUCAUUUUAAGUUCUCCUUAUUUGUUUUGCAGAUGUUAGUGCUGUUGUCAUGAUGUCCAGAGAUUAAUGCACAUCACUAGCAUGAGAAUGCUAGUGAAUAAUCAUGCUUUAGAUUCAUUUUUAUUUUACAAUUAAAUAAUAAAAACGAAAAACAAUGUC